rnacentral:rRNA from 1 species
GACGAACGCUGGCGGCGUGCUUAACACAUGCAAGUCGAACGAUGAACCCGGAGCUUGCUCCGGUGGAUUAGUGGCGAACGGGUGAGUAACACGUGAGUAACCUGCCCUUGACUCUGGGAUAACUGCGGGAAACUGUAGCUAAUACCGGAUACGACCCUCGGCGGCAUCGCCAGGGGGUGGAAAGAAUUUCGGUCUAGGAUGGACUCGCGGCCUAUCAGCUAGUUGGUGAGGUAACGGCUCACCAAGGCGACGACGGGUAGCCGGCCUGAGAGGGUGACCGGCCACACUGGGACUGAGACACGGCCCAGACUCCUACGGGAGGCAGCAGUGGGGAAUAUUGCACAAUGGGCGAAAGCCUGAUCCAGCAACUCUGCGUGAGGGACGAAGGUCCUCGGAUCGUAAACCUCUUUUGCUAGGGGCGAAUACCCGCAAGGGUUUGACGGUACCUAGCGAAUAAGCCACGGCUAACUAUGUGCCAGCAGCCGCCGUAA